GGUUAAGCGACUAAGCGUACACGGUGGAUGCCCUGGCAGUCAGAGGCGAUGAAGGACGUGCUAAUCUGCGAUAAGCGUCGGUAAGGUGAUAUGAACCGUUAUAACCGGCGAUUUCCGAAUGGGGAAACCCAGUGUGAUUCGUCACACUAUCAUUAACUGAAUCCAUAGGUUAAUGAGGCGAACCGGGGGAACUGAAACAUCUAAGUACCCCGAGGAAAAGAAAUCAACCGAGAUUCCCCCAGUAGCGGCGAGCGAACGGGGAGCAGCCCAGAGCCUGAAUCAGUGUGUGUGUUAGUGGAAGCGUCUGGAAAGGCGUGCGAUACAGGGUGACAGCCCCGUACACAAAAAUGCACAUACUGUGAGCUCGAUGAGUAGGGCGGGACACGUGGUAUCCUGUCUGAAUAUGGGGGGACCAUCCUCCAAGGCUAAAUACUCCUGACUGACCGAUAGUGAACCAGUACCGUGAGGGAAAGGCGAAAAGAACCCCGGCGAGGGGAGUGAAAAAGAACCUGAAACCGUGUACGUACAAGCAGUGGGAGCACGCUUAGGCGUGUGACUGCGUACCUUUUGUAUAAUGGGUCAGCGACUUAUAUUCUGUAGCAAGGUUAACCGAAUAGGGGAGCCGAAGGGAAACCGAGUCUUAACUGGGCGUUAAGUUGCAGGGUAUAGACCCGAAACCCGGUGAUCUAGCCAUGGGCAGGUUGAAGGUUGGGUAACACUAACUGGAGGACCGAACCGACUAAUGUUGAAAAAUUAGCGGAUGACUUGUGGCUGGGGGUGAAAGGCCAAUCAAACCGGGAGAUAGCUGGUUCUCCCCGAAAGCUAUUUAGGUAGCGCCUCGUGAAUUCAUCUCCGGGGGUAGAGCACUGUUUCGGCAAGGGGGUCAUCCCGACUUACCAACCCGAUGCAAACUGCGAAUACCGGAGAAUGUUAUCACGGGAGACACACGGCGGGUGCUAACGUCCGUCGUGAAGAGGGAAACAACCCAGACCGCCAGCUAAGGUCCCAAAGUCAUGGUUAAGUGGGAAACGAUGUGGGAAGGCCCAGACAGCCAGGAUGUUGGCUUAGAAGCAGCCAUCAUUUAAAGAAAGCGUAAUAGCUCACUGGUCGAGUCGGCCUGCGCGGAAGAUGUAACGGGGCUAAACCAUGCACCGAAGCUGCGGCAGCGACGCUUAUGCGUUGUUGGGUAGGGGAGCGUUCUGUAAGCCUGUGAAGGUGUGCUGUGAGGUAUGCUGGAGGUAUCAGAAGUGCGAAUGCUGACAUAAGUAACGAUAAAGCGGGUGAAAAGCCCGCUCGCCGGAAGACCAAGGGUUCCUGUC
rnacentral:rRNA from 1 species